ACCCGGCUGGCUCAGAUGGUAGAGCAUGAGACUCUUGAUCUCAGGGUUGUAAGUUGGAGUCCCACACUGGGGG
rnacentral:tRNA from 1 species